GAUGAACGCUAGCUACAGGCUUAACACAUGCAAGUCGAGGGGAAACGGCGUUGAGUGCUUGCACUCUUCGGACGUCGACCGGCGCACGGGUGAGUAACGCGUAUCCAACCUUCCCAUAACUAAGGGAUAACCUGCCGAAAGGCAGACUAAUACCUUAUGUAAUUCUUAGAUGACAUCAGAAGAGAAUGAAAGAUUUAUCGGUUAUGGAUGGGGAUGCGUCUGAUUAGCUUGUUGGCGGGGUAACAGCCCACCAAGGCGACGAUCAGUAGGGGUUCUGAGAGGAAGGUCCCCCACAUUGGAACUGAGACACGGUCCAAACUCCUACGGGAGGCAGCAGUGAGGAAUAUUGGUCAAUGGGCGAGAGCCUGAACCAGCCAAGUAGCGUGCAGGAAGACGGCCCUAUGGGUUUGUAAAACUGCUUUUGUAUGGGGAUAAAAGUCAAAUCACGUGUG
rnacentral:rRNA from 1 species